AUGCUCACUUCAGCAGCACAAAUACUAAAAUUGGAAUGAUACAGAGAUUAAAAUAGCCCCUGUAUAAAGAGGACAGGGAAAGAUGUAAAAAUGUAAAGAUGAUA